UCUCCUGGAGGACGACUGCUCCUCCUCACAGGAAGAGGAGGAAGAAGAGGAGGAAGAAGAGGAGGAAGAAGAGGAGGAGGAGCAGCAAAGUGAGGAUGCUCAGAUGGACAGAAAGGAGAGGAAGAAGAUGGUGAAGGAGGCUCAGCGAGAGAAACGUCGAACCAAAGUACCCAAGCACGUGAAGAAGAGGAAGGAGAAGGUGGCCAAGACGAAGAAGGGCAGAUGAUGAGUGCCUCCUGCCUCAACCUCCACCUAACAGCCAAUCACCAGCGAGCAGAGCUGAGAGCCGCUGCAAGUGAACUUUAUGAACAACAGAAACUUUAUUUGUACAAAUUAACAGAAUAAAGAUUUUUUUCCCAUGA